UCAAGUGCCACAGAGGGCGUCAGCAUGCACCUGGGCAUAGGCACUUUUGAGAGGGAAGCUUCGGAAGAGUGUUGGACCAAGUAGGAGGAAGUGAAAGCUUUGGGCAUAGCUGAUGCUAUGGUCUGGGAGUCAGAGGUGCUGGCUCUGAAGGAGAUAGCAGGUGGGCAGUGGCCUAUGGACUCCUAGUUCCGUCUCUCAAGUCUACAAGCAUGCCUUUGGUGUUCUCUUAAAGUACCCGAAGACCAAGGUGUUACCUCACCAAGAAGACCACUCUCCUCUCAAAGACUGCCCCAUGAAGUCUCCAUGCACAAGGAAAUGUUUCUGCCAUUAAGUAGACUGGAAUUACCCAGAGAGUUAAAAAAAAUACUGCUGCCUGUAUCCCAGUCAAGAAUAAUUAGAUCAGUAUCUCUGGA